rnacentral:misc_RNA from 1 species
GGAAAACAUGGCGUCCUUUGUCGACGAUGAGUUUCAAUCAGCUAACAUAUUCAUACCGGAGGAGUGGUCCGAUGCUGCCGACUCUGUAGCCUAUGAUUCUAACACUUCGCCGCCGCCGGUUGCGUUUGUCUGCGGUCCCAAAAAUAGCGGCAAAACCACUUUCUCUCGCGUCCUUGUCAAUGUUCUUCUUCAGAGAUACAAGAAAGUCGCUUAUUUGGAUACAGAUGUCGGGCAGACAGAGUUCACUCCACCUGGUUUAUUAUCGCUUACCACAAUUGACAAAAUAACUUCAGAUCUGUCAAUUCCAUGCCUAAAAACUCCUGAGAGAUGCUUCUUUUUUGGUGACAUAUCCUCUAAAAGGGAUCCCAAAACAUAUUUGGCUUAUAUUUUUGCCUUGUAUGAUCACUACCGGAGAACGUACCUGUUGAGCAAUGGCGGAAGUCCUGGAAAUGCUGGGGUGCCUCUUGUCAUUAACACAACGGGCUGGGUCAAAGGUAUUGGCUAUGACAUUCUUGUGGAUAUUAUCAAAUACAUCUCUCCUACACAUGUUGUUAAGAUUUGCAUAUCGUCUGUGAGCAAGAACCUUCCGGCUGGUGCAUUUUGGUUGGAUGAUGAUAAUAGUGAUGUUCCAACUGUAGUUGAGGUCAACUCUGCUCGUCGGGACUCUUUUAACAGAUC